rnacentral:rRNA from 1 species
ACGCUCGACACCUACGGGAUGCAGCAGUGGGGAAUAUUGCACAAUGGGGGAAACCCUGAUGCAGCGACGCCGCGUGAGUGAAGAAGUAUUUCGGUAUGUAAAGCUCUAUCAGCAGGGAAGAAAAUGACGGUACCUGAGUAAGAAGCCCCGGCUAACUACGUGCCAGCAGCCGCGGUAAUCUGAGCGGGCUGGCAAGGC